ensembl:snRNA U6 U6 spliceosomal RNA
GUGUGUUCGAUUUGGCGCAUAUAUACUAAAAUUGGAAUGAUAUGGAGGAGAUUAGCAUGGCCCCUGUGCAAGGAUAACAUGCAAAUCCGUGAAGUCUUCCAUAUUUUU